AUGCUCAAAAUUCUCCAAGCCAGGCUUCAGCAAUACAUGAACCAUAAACUUCCAGAUGUUCAAGCUGGUUUUAGAAAAGGCAGAGGAACCAGAGAUCAAAUUGCCAACAUCUGCUGGAUCUUGGAAAAAGCAAGAGAGUUCCAGAAAAACAUCUAUUUCUGCUUUAUUGACUAUGCCAAAGCCUUUGACUGCAUGGAUCACAAUAAACCGUGGAAAAUUCUUCAAGAGAUGGGAAUAUCAGACCACCUGACCUGCCUCUUGAGAAACCUAUAUGCAGGUCAGGAAGCAGCAGUUAGAACUGGACAUGGAACAACAGACUGGUUCCAAAUAGGAAAAGGAGUACAUCAAGGCUGUAUAUUGUCACCCUGCUUAUUUAACUUCUAUGCAGAGUACAUCAUGAGAAAUGCUGGGCUGGAAGAAGAACAAGCUGGAAUCAAUAUUGUCAGGAGAAAUAUCAAUAACCUCAAAUAUGCAAAUGACACCACCCUUAUGGCAGAAAGUGAAGAGGAACUACAAAGCCUCUUGAUGAAAGUGAAAGAGGAGAGUGAAAAAGUUGGCUUAAAGCUCAACAUUCAGAAAACAAAGAUCAUGGCAUCUGGUCCUGUCACUUCAUGGGAAAUAGACGGGGAAACAGUGGAAACAGUGUCAGACUUUAUUUUUUGGGGCUCAAAAAUCACUGCAGAUGGUGACCGCAGCCAUGAAGUUAAAAGACGCUUACUCCUUAGAAGGAAAGUUAUGACCAAUCUAGAUUGCAUAUUCAAAAGCAGAGACAUUACUUUGCCAACAAAGGUCCGUCUAGUCAAGGCUAUAGUUUUUCCAGUAGUCAUAUAUGGAUGUGAGAGUUGGACUGUGAAGAAGGCUGAGUGCCAAAGAAUUGAUGCUUUUGAACUGUGGUGUUGGAGAAGACUCUUGAGAGACCCUUGGACUGCAAGGAGAUCCAACCAGUCCAUUCUGAAGGAGAUCAGCCCUGGGAUUUCUUUGGAAGGACUGAUGCUAAAGCUGAAACUCCAGUACUUUGACCAUCUCAUGCACAGAGUUGACUCAUUGGAAAAGUCUCUGAUGCUGGGAGGGAUUGGGGGCAGGAGGAGAAGGGGAUAA
rnacentral:lncRNA from 1 species